rnacentral:rRNA from 1 species
GGGCCCGCACAAGCGGUGGAGCAUGUGGUUUAAUUCGAUGAUACGCGAGGAACCUUACCAGGGCUUAAAUGUAAGUUGCAUAAGUUAGAGAUAGCUUUUUCUUCGGACUACUUACAAGGUGCUGCAUGGUUGUCGUCAGCUCGUGCCGUGAGGUGUCAGGUUAAGUCCUAUAACGAGCGCAACCCCUGUUGUUAGUUGCCAUCGAGUAAUGUCGGGAACUCUAACAAGACUGCCGGUGCAAACCGUGAGGAAGGUGGGGAUGACGUCAAAUCAUCACGGCCCUUACGUCCUGGCUACACACGUGCUACAAUGGCGCAUACAGAGGGCAGCAAGCUAGCGAUAGUGAG